rnacentral:rRNA from 1 species
AUUGAACGCUGGCGGCAGGCCUAACACAUGCAAGUCGAACGAGUGGCGGACGGGUGAGUAAUGUCUGGGAAACUGCCUGAUGGAGGGGGAUAACUACUGGAAACGGUAGCUAAUACCGCAUACCCUCAGAUGUGCCCAGAUGGGAUUAGCUAGUUGGUGGGGUAACGGCUCACCAAGGCGACGAUCCCUAGCUGGUCUGAGAGGAUGACCAGCCACACGGGAACUGAGACACGGUCCAGACUCCGAGGGUAGGCAGCAGUGGGAAAUAUUGCACAAUGGGCGCAAGCCUGAGGCAGCCAGGCGGCGUGUAUGAAGAGGGCCUUCGGGUUGUAAAGUACGUUCAGCGGGGAGGCGUUACCCGCAGAAGAAGCACCGGCUAACUCCGUGCCAGCAGCCGCGGUAAUUC